GUAAAGGAAUCGUUACGUUUUGUUUGUCGCUAAAUGAGUACGUUUUAUGAUCUAUAUCUUACUGGAUGGAUGUUGGCCGUGAAUUAUAUUCAGCUGCAGUAGAGAUAUUCGAUAAUGUUUUGUUUUUACG